AUUGAACGCUGGCGGCAGGCCUAACACAUGCAAGUCGAGCGGGGGUAGCAAUACCCUAGCGGCGAACGGGUGAGGAAUGCUUGGGAAUCUGCCUCGUAGUGGGGGAUAACGUUCCGAAAGGAACGCUAAUACCGCAUACGUCCUACGGGAGAAAGGGGGGAGUCUUCGGACCUCUCGCUAUGAGAUGAGCCCAAGCGGGAUUAGCUAGUUGGUGAGGUAAAGGCUCACCAAGGCUACGAUCCCUAGCUGGUCUGAGAGGAUGAUCAGCCACACUGGAACUGAGACACGGUCCAGACUCCUACGGGAGGCAGCAGUGGGGAAUAUUGGACAAUGGGCGAAAGCCUGAUCCAGCCAUGCCGCGUGUGCGAAGAAGGCC
rnacentral:rRNA from 1 species